rnacentral:lncRNA from 1 species
GAAGACAUUCCAACCAUUCGAAAGGGCUGCAGGUGGCCAGUGGGCAAAUUAGUUCGAUUUCUAGACCCUAGAGCAUCCUAUAAUACAGAAAUCCACAAUUUAAAUCACAAUAUGUUCAUGUACUAAGAAAUGACACAAUUCAAAUCACAAUAUACUAAAAUCUUUCAAGCAUCAUGUUUUCUAUUCAAAUUGUAAACUGCUAGUAUUGUCAAAUUGGAACUUUUUUACUCAUUACUUAACCAACUAAGAAGAAAAGUUUUAUAGAAAAA